UACGAAGGGGGCUAGCGUUGCUCGGAAUUACUGGGCGUAAAGGGUUCGUAGGCGGUGCGGCAAGUCGGGAGUGAAAUCCCUGGGCUUAACUCAGGGGCUGCUUCCGAAACUGCCGUGCUUGAGUGCGGGAGAGGCGAGUGGAAUUGCAGGUGUAGCGGUGAAAUGCGUAGAUAUCUGCAGGAACACCCGUGGCGAAGGCGGCUCGCUGGACCGCAACUGACGCUGAGGAACGAAAGCUAGGGGAGCAAACAGG
rnacentral:rRNA from 1 species